AUCAGAGACAUUACUUAGCCCAUCGAGCAGAGUAGAGGAAGGUGGGCAGGUAACACCAGAGCUUUGAGAGCUUCCCCCCUGGGGGAAAAGAAAGAAGACUUGAGAGGGACCCGUGAAUGUCACCAUGAGGGUCAAGGAAAUAAAUAGCCUGAAGGAUAGAAUCCAUGAGCUAAAGACCGUCAUCAAGUUCCAAGAAAAAAGCCGGCUUCUACAAAGCAAAUCCUUCGAGGAGAGGACAGACCAGAACAAAGAUGUGAUUAGUGUCCUGCAGAACAAUGUCCGACAUUUCCAUCAGGACUGGAUAGUUGCCAGAAAAUAUGAUGAAUGGACCAUUGCCCGGGCCUGCCGGAAGGACUUACCUUUGAAGUUGGCCACCAGCCGAAGUACUGUGGAGGUGGCUCGAGAAAAGCUGCGUAAGUAUGUUUUUGACCGUGUGAAUGUUCACAAUGUGAUGCUGCACCUGGUUCGGCAGCGAGGGGAGAGGCUGGAAAACAUGCAAUCAGAGCUAGAAAAUCUGCUGAGCCAGCAGAACAGUACCAAAGAAGAGCUGCAACAGCUGCAGAUCAUCCGUCAGUUAGAGAACAAUAUUGAAAAGACAAUGAUCAAGAUCAACACUAGCCAGAACCUCUAUUCACUCUACGUUCGGCUGUUGGAUUAUCUGAAAAAAGAGCUGACAUACUACCCACCACAGCUAGAUAAACUGCAGAACAUGGUGUUGCUAUUCCAGAAGGAUCUUUCCAACAUGUCUGAAAUGACCCAUGAUGCCAUGAAGAUGACAGAAGUGGCCAAGGUGAACAUGUCAGAAAUGGAGACAGCCUUCGUUGCAGAACGUAAGACCAGGGAACAAAAGCUCACCCAGCAGAAGAAAAUGAUUGAAAAGAUUCAUUCCACUGGCAGCGAAAGGCACCGAAGGGGCAGGCGAGAUAUGGAAUUCUCCUCCACCUUGGUGACCCCAGAGCCACAAAAAGGAAGAAUGCAAGAAGUAUCCCAGGCUGAUAUUGAGUACCAGGCAGAUGUGACCUAUAUAGUGGACAGUGUCAAAAAUGCUGUACAGUGUUCUCAUCUCUGGGAUAUCGCAGGCAGGUUCCUGGCCCAGAAAAACACACAGGAAAACCUGUUGCAGCAGACCAAGGAGUAUGAACAAAAACGGAAGGAGCUCGAGGCCCUCCUGCAGAAGCUGGACCUGGAACGGGCACUGCUCAAGUUUCAUCAGAACCCAAAUGUCAAUAGAUUCAAGAAGCUAGAGAAGGAAUUGUCGGAGAUGCUGAACAAGGAGAAUAAAAGACUUCAGCUAGAAAACAAAAACUUGACAAAGAAUGAACAACUACUUCUCAAUAUCGAGAUUGGCAUCGAUAAUCUGUUCAUUCGACUGAUAGGCAUUGCAUUGCCUUCAGAGAAAGGAAUCCCUGGUCCUACUGAUACCAAAGACGCCUACAGCAAACUACAAUACUGUGAGAGGAAGCUCCUCUAUUUGAUAGAAAGAACUAAGAAAUACGCGGGGGAAUACGAUGAGUCCUCCCAGCAAGUGAGAGACUUCUUAGAGGAAUCGACAUUACAAGAGAAACAUAAUGUGAAAAUUACUUUUGAAGAUGCUGAUGAUGAUGGGAGAGAAUCCUUCGAAUUUCCUGAUGUGGACCAAAGCUAUGUACCUUCCCGGGAGGAGAUCAAGAAGCAAAGUAUACGUUUUAUUGAUGCUAAAACCAGAAAUGUCAAGAAACCAAAGAAGAAAUAACUGUUUCUUCUUUAGCUCUGAUCCUAUCCUUAACCCCACAAGGCCCAGCAUGUCCAACUUUCCAGCUCACAGUGAACUGCCUCCUUUCAUGGUUCAAGUGCCUACUCUGCAACUUCUUAUCAGAGACUUUGGGUAGUCACUUCUGUGAUUAUCUCAUCACUUUACUACUGGACUAUUGUAACAGCCUCCUGCACUUUUCCACUGUACCAUGCUGUCUCUUGUCAAAGAUGGGCAACUGGUUUAAUUCACCCAUCCAAGUCUAUAUCCUGAAUCGUCAAAAACCUGGGACCACAAUUGAAUAGAAGGAAGUGAGUAGAUUGUCCUCAGGAAGUACUCAAUAAUUUUAAUAUCCUCAACUGAAAGACUAUCUUAUAAAUACAGUUAUUCUCCAGGUACAAAUAUAGCAACUCAUGCAAAUCAUGAACCAUCAUUUUCUCCUGGUACCUUUUAACCCCAAAGUGAGGGUUAGUAAUGUAGGCCACAGCCUGCUCUAGUGUAAAACACGCUGAAUCUUCUGUCAAAGGGCUUGCCUGAUUUUAAAUCCUGUGUAUAUGCCAUUACUACCUGCCUGGGGAAGGGGGCAGGGAGAGACAGCCCCUCCCAACUGCCCCCACCUCCUACUGCUGUUGGGCAAGUCAUUUAAGGUCUCUGGGCCUCAGUUUCCUCAUCUGUAAAAUGGGAGUGAUAAAAGCACCUACCUCCCAGGUUUUUUGAAAGGAUCAAAUGAGAUAACUUUUGUAAAGUCCUUUGCAAGUCUUAAGGGGCAAUCUAAAUGCUAGCUAUCAUCAUCAUCAUCAUCAUCAUCAUCAUCGUCGUCAUCAUCAUCAUCAUCACCAUCACCACCACCAGGAUGAGGUGGAGGGUCUCUGAAGGUAAGUGGGGUAUCUGGCAAGGGGGUAAUGGAUUUCUCAGGUA